GUAUAAGAGACAGCAGUCGCCACGGGAAUACGUAGGGUGCAAGCGUUAAUCGGAAUUACUGGGCGUAAAGCGUGCGCAGGCGGUUAUAUAAGACAGAUGUGAAAUCCCCGGGCUCAACCUGGGAACUGCAUUUGUGACUGUAUAGCUAGAGUACGGCAGAGGGGGAUGGAAUUCCGCGUGUAGCAGUGAAAUGCGUAGAUAUGCGGAGGAACACCGAUGGCGAAGGCAAUCCCCUGGGCCUGUACUGACGCUCAUGCACGAAAGCGUGGGGAGCAAACAGGAUUAGAGACCCCCGUAGUCCCUGUCUCUUAUAC
rnacentral:rRNA from 1 species